GAAUUGAAGAGUUUGAUCAUGGCUCAGAUUGAACGCUGGCGGCAGGCUUAACACAUGCAAGUCGAACGGUAGCAGGAAGAAGCUUGUUUCUUUGCUGACGAGUGGCGGACGGGUGAGUAAUGCUUGGGAAUCUGGCUUAUGGAGGGGGAUAACUACGGGAAACUGUAGCUAAUACCGCGUAGUAUCGGGAGAUGAAAGACUGGGACCGCAAGGCCAGUUGCCAUAAGAUGAGCCCAAGUGGGAUUAGGUAGUUGGUGGGGUAAAGGCCUACCAAGCCGACGAUCUCUAGCUGGUCUGAGAGGAUGACCAGCCACACUGGAACUGAGACACGGUCCAGACUCCUACGGGAGGCAGCAGUGGGGAAUAUUGCACAAUGGGGGGAACCCUGAUGCAGCCAUGCCGCGUGAAUGAAGAAGGCCUUCGGGUUGUAAAGUUCUUUCGGUGAUGAGGAAGGGUGGUGUUUUAAUAGA
rnacentral:rRNA from 1 species